rnacentral:rRNA from 1 species
ACGCUCGACACCUACGGAGGCAGCAGUGGGGAAUAUUGCACAAUGGGGGAAACCCUGAUGCAGCGACGCCGCGUGGAGGAAGAAGGUCUUCGGAUUGUAAACUCCUGUUGUUGGGGAAAAAGAGGAUGGUACCCAACAAGGAAGUGACGGCUAACUACGUGCCAGCAGCUGUAGUAUCUGAGGCGGGUCGUGGACGAAGGC